GGUUUCUUAAGUCUGAUGUGAAAGCCCCCGGCUCAACCGGGGAGGGUCAUUGGAAACUGGGGAACUUGAGUGCAGAAGAGGAGAGUGGAAUUCCACGUGUAGCGGUGAAAUGCAUAGAGAUGUGGAGGAACACCAGUGGCGAAGGCGACUCUCUGGUCUGUAACUGACGCUGAGGCGCGAAAGCGUGGGGAGCGAACAGGAUUAGAUACCCUGGUAGUCCACGCCGUAAACGAUGAGUGCUAAGUGUUAGAGGGUUUCCGCCCUUUAGUGCUGCAGCAAACGCAUUAAGCACUCCGCCUGGGGAGUACGGUCGCAAGACUGAAACUCAAAGGAAUUGACGGGGGCCCGCACAAGCGGUGGAGCAUGUGGUUUAAUUCGAAGCAACGCGAAGAACCUUACCAGGUCUUGACAUCCUCUGACAACCCUAGAGAUAGGGCUUCCCCUUCGGGGGCAGAGUGACAGGUGGUGCAUGGUUGUCGUCAGCUCGUGUCGUGAGAUGUUGGGUUAAGUCCCGCAACGAGCGCAACCCUUGAUCUUAGUUGCCAGCAUUCAGUUGGGCACUCUAAGGUGACUGCCGGUGACAAACCGGAGGAAGGUGGGGAUGACGUCAAAUCAUCAUGCCCCUUAUGACCUGGGCUACACACGUGCUACAAUGGGCAGAACAAAGGGCAGCGAAGCCGCGAGGCUAAGCCAAUCCCACAAAUCUGUUCUCAGUUCGGAUCGCAGUCUGCAACUCGACUGCGUGAAGCUGGAAUCGCUAGUAAUCGCGGAUCAGCAUGCCGCGGGUGAAUACGUUCCCCGGGCCUUGUACACACCGCCCGUCACACCACGAGAGU
rnacentral:rRNA from 1 species